rnacentral:rRNA from 1 species
UAACACGUGGGUAACCUGCCCAAGAGAUCGGGAUAACACCUGGAAACAGAUGCUAAUACCGGAUAAUAUAUUGAACCGCAUGGUUCAAUAGUGAAAGACGGUUUUGCUGUCACUUAUAGAUGGAUCCGCGCCGCAUUAGCUAGUUGGUAAGGUAACGGCUUACCAAGGCAACGAUGCGUAGCCGACCUGAGAGGGUGAUCGGCCACACUGGAACUGAGACACGGUCCAGACUCCUACGGGAGGCAGCAGCG